rnacentral:sRNA from 1 species
GUGUAGAUAAGGGAGAAGAUUGCAAAAUCAAAAAAAAAC